rnacentral:lncRNA from 11 species
GGAGAGAGAGAAGGGAAGAGAGCAAUGCGGAAGGCUUCUACGGGGCCGCGUCUCAAUGGCAUUUUUAAAAUGCUAGCAGAUCGAUGGGCAUGCCUCUCCCUCCCUCCCUCUUCCGCUCUGAUUGGCUGAGAGGCAUGCCAACAUGGCUUCUCCUCUCAGAGGAGCUACAGCUACAUCCGAAGACAUCAGAAACAAACGAAAAAAAGAAAGUCUUGCAUCCUUCAAUGAUGGGCCUGUAACCAGUACAACGGCAGAGAUUGCCUGAAGGAAGGAUGAACAUGAUCAUAUUAUCAACAUAAAUGUUUAUUUCAAAAUGUAGCUUUUUUUUCAAGUGAACCCUAAACAGAGGGAUAGGAAGUGGAAGCAGGUUUGUGAAAAAUGCUUCUGUCUCACUCAAAAUUACACAAGUCUUAUUCCUAGUAGAAAUUUUAAAUUUCA